GCAUGUGGAAAAUGGAUUGAGGCUCAUCGUAAGUGUCUCCGUGCAGAGGGAUUCAAUGUCUGAACUUGAUAACCUAAUAAAAUGAAAGAUUUGAUUUUCUGUUAGUCUACAGUUUAACUAUUUGAGAGAUACAGAUACCAGAGAAAAUUGAGAAAUAAAGUGAUAGAGAGGAGGAGGUAUAGCCAAAGCUGCAGUGCAGUAAGUACAGUUUGGCGGUGUAUUUUUGUAGGCUCGGGCCUUUGUUA
rnacentral:misc_RNA from 1 species